UUAGAGUCCAGGAGCGAUCUGGCAACAGCUGGGUUUCAACCCUCCUUCACGGAGUAAAUAGGUUAUUUACAACACCUACCUCUUAAGCCACUAUACAGCACUACAGCUUAUAAAGUGAAUUUACCCAACAUGAAUACAAUUCACACCAGCCCAGUUGGAGAGACCACACACGUUACCAUCAACAGCUCAAGAGAGCACAUGCAACGCGACAUCAUUAGGACUCCGAAGGUGUAGCGCCUCCCCCCUCCCCCGGCUGCUCCCACACUUUAAGAGAAACCACAGCUCCUCCCACCCUGGAAAUGUCCCAAGAGUCAGAGAACCCUGUGACUGAGGGCUCCGGGCCCUUGAUUUCCUCUGACAAUCAAGACCAGUCUCAGCCCAGGAGCCCAGACAUUAGCCCUGUAAACCAGAUCUCAGAUGUGCCAUCUUGUACCUAAAUGCAAAGGCCCCAAAUUAUCCAAAUGUCCCUGACCCCUGCCAUUUCUGUGUUUCCCUCUAUCUCCUACACCUGUGACUCUCCAACUCGAUGGGGCCCAGGAAUAAUAUGGAAACUCGUUAAAAACCAAUGGCCGGCUCACAUCAGAGCUUUCUGAUUCAGUAGUUGUCAGUGAGGUGUGAGAUUCUGUUUCUCCCAAGUUCCCUGGUGAGCUGCUGGCCCAGGGCCACACUGAGUAAUGCAGGAGAAGAAAGCCUCUUGCACUCUGAAGCAGCUAGCCCGCAGGUCCUGCAUCAGACCACCAGUUCUAACUUGGAGUUCAGAAAAUACAUGCCCUGCAAUAUAAACCCCUGCAAACUACCCAUCCCUGCAAACCCCUUUCCAGCACACACGCACACACACACACACACACAUGCCAAUGAGGACUACCACAGAGGCGAUACAGCCUAACCCAGCCCCAUGGAGCCCACAAUGAGGAGCCUCAAUGGUUGGCUUAUCUGGCCCCUCCACUGUCUCCCAGCCGGCCUGGCUGUAGUGUGGUUUCAUAAGCGCAUUCCUUGCUGGCUACAUGUAAGUUUACCGUCUCUCCAGCAGCAAUGCAAAUGCUAUUCCAGGGAGCCAUGCGUCCAGCACCUCACAUUAGAUUUUAUGGGAUGGGCUGAAUGUGGCUUAAAGGAUCCACCAGCAGCACCUUGGUGGUAGAAGGGGCUACGGUUUUGGGGUUUGACCUGUGGCUUGGUCACUCUUCAAGGGGCAAAUAAAGCUGUCAUUUUCCCAUGAGGCUUGGCCCUCGUGUCAUCAGACCCUCAGCCCAUUCCUAGCAGGCUCAGAUACUCCCUUGGUAGCGACAGACAAAGCACAGAAAGACAGCCCCGUGGGAAGAGAGGCUCUCUCUGGGAACGGUGGUGAGCCUCCAGCCAGAGGAAUGCAGAUGGGCUCAGGUGACAGUCCCCACAAGGAAUGGCUUCCAGGUAGCCCCCUCUCAGCUCUCCCUGGGGUGGAUGUUUAGAUUUGUGAACCUGUUAUUGCAAAAGUUACUUACUCCUCCAGCUCUACACUAUGGCUGAGUCCAGAAGAGUUUCUCAAACCACACAACCCACCUGCCUUUUCUAACAGGGCACCUCCUGGUCCCAGAGUCUCCGGAAUGCUCUUUGAAGCAGCGGCCUGAAUGGCAACUUAGAUGUUAUCUUUGAAUACGUGAUGGAUCCUUGUCGAAGAACAGAACACCUACUAAAAUUCUCCUAGAAUAAUCAGCUCACACGAGUGGUUUAGUAUGUGCCAGGCACUAUUCUAAUGCCUUAUAAGAAUUACACAUUUGCUUUUCAAAACACUCAGGAAGGAACGGUUAUAUCCCCAUUUUA